UAAUCUGUUGCUAAGAGACGAGUGUGUUUACUGGUAACCAAGUGCCACGAAGUGAACUUCAGAUUUUUACUUUUGCGAAAUUUGCCAACGGUAAAUAUCUUGUAUCUAAUCAGAUAAGCGUUAUUUCGAAAGAGCUUUUGUUUUAGAAACUACUUAUUAAUUUAGUCUUUAGUCUUGUUUAGCACACUGAAUGGAGGAAGUCAAUGUAAGACGACAUGCUAGUUAUAGCCCACAUGCCACUGGCUGCAUUUAGGCUAAUAUUACCAUUAUUUGAUCUUUAUAUUGCCUAAUGUUUUGUGAAACCAAGUAUAGGCUACAGAACAAAGACAGAAGUAUUUACAGAAAGAGAUGUUUAAGCAGAAUCAUUGCAAAGGCAGAAAUGAGAAAAAAAACACCAUUUAUCUUAAACUCCUAGAACUGGUUUUAAUUCUUGAGUUAAAGGAAUUCUAGUAAAAAACAGAAACACCCGCUUUAAAAGCAGACUUCAAAUGUUCCUCUCUGUGAGCACCCUAUGUAUCAUCUGACAUUCGGACAGGUUCAGAUCUGAUGUCACUUGCCUUGUUAAAUUUCCUGUUCCCAAGUUCUCUGACGAGGCCCAGAAAUUUGAUAACAAGUCAGAUUUCUAAGUUUUAAAAUGUUAUCAGAAAGGUGAGGCAGGUGGGAAGGAGCAAUGGGGGAGGAAAACCCCUCUGAAAACCCCUCUUCCAAACAGAUCACUUCCAAACAGUGAUCUGUUUGGAAGAACGGGAUGGCUCCAAACUUCAACCAGACUGGCCACGGAUACUGACUCAAGAAUGCAGCCACCAAAAGUCUCCUCCUCUCCAUGGAUGGCAUCAAGCUGUACGCCAAGAGCGAGCGAGACAUCGACUCACUGAUCCGCACCACCAGGAUCUGCAGCACUGACAUUGGGAUGUCAUUCGGACUAGAGAAGUGUGGCGGAUGAUUACAAAGAGAGGGAAGGUCAUCCACACAGAAGGGGUCUCACUCCCAGAAGGAACAAYAGCAGACAUUGAGGACAGUUACAAUUACCUGGGAAUACCACAAGCAAAUGGCAACCUCGAUGAGGUCACAAGGAAAGGAGCCACAGCCAAAUAAUACCUCCAACGAAUAAGGCAAGUCCUGAGAAGCCAGCUCAAUGGCAAGAACAACAUACGUGCGAUAAACAGCUAUGAGUUACCAGUAAUCAGAGACCCUGCAGGAAUAAUCAGCUGGCCAAAGGAGGAGAUGAAGACCACCGAUGUUAAGACACUCKGAAACUACUGACCAUGCAUGGAGGGCUCCACCCCAAAUCCAGCAUUCUGACUAAACACGAGUCAUAGGGAAGGAGCCAUAAUACUGGAUGGAUAAUAAAUGACUAAAACUAUAUGAUCACAUAAAAAGUUUAAAUAAGAUUCAUAAAUAUAUAUGUAUAGAAAACAAGAAAAAUGGCAAAACAAACCCUAAUUGAUUUCUAUUUGCUUUUUCUCUUUCCCUCUGUCUGAGCCUCGCGUGGUGCAUCUGACCUCUGACCUCAACUCCUCAAACCUGUCCUCCCAUGGACCAGAUGAUGUCCCUCCUACAAAACCAGCCGAUGAAAAUGAUCGAGAAGAUCUGGAGGAUCAAGAAGACA